AAAUAACUUGGUUUGCAGUUUAUGUCUUACAAGAGCACUGGAAACAUUGGUUGUUUUUCGACAUUGAAGAAAUUCUCUUAGCGAGCUAUGCCUGAGUUCAGUUGAACAAAGGCACUAGCAGACUAGCAGUAUAUGCAGGAGUCAACAUAAAAAUGGAAGAAAUGGGAAAAUAUUUUCAACCUCAGAGGAGAUAAUUCUAUGUCAAAGCAGAGAAGUUUCUUUUGGGGAUAAAAUGCUACUGAAUUUUACUGACCCUUAUAAAAGGUGUCUGCAAGCUUCAAUUUACAGGAUUCUAGUUCUUAAUGAAUUACAGAAGAGUCAACUCAGGGAACACAUUACAGAAGGCACAGCAGAAUGUAAUCCACUUGAAAUACCUAGCUAAAUGAGACAAGUUUUAAGUUCUCCAUUGUAGCUCAAUUUGA
rnacentral:misc_RNA from 1 species